rnacentral:rRNA from 1 species
AUUGAACGCUGGCGGCAGGCCUAACACAUGCAAGUCGAACGAGUGGCGGACGGGUGAGUAAUGUCUGGGAAACUGCCUGAUGGAGGGGGAUAACUACUGGAAACGGUAGCUAAUACCGCAUACCAUCGGAUGUGCCCAGAUGGGAGUAGCUAGUAGGUGGGGGAACGGGUCACCUAGGCGACGAUCCCUAGCUGGUCUGAGAGGAUGACCAGCAAAACUGGAACGAGGACACGGUCCAGACUCCUACGGGAGGCAGCAGGGGGGAAUAUUGCACAAUGGGGGCAAGCCUGAUGCAGACAUGCCGCGUGUAUGAAGAAGGCGUUCGGGUUGUAAAGUACUUUCAGCGGGGAGGCGUUACCCGCAGAAGAAGCACCGGCUAACUCCGUGCCAGCAGCCGCGGUAAUUC